AAUUUUCUACAAUGGGGGAAACCCUGAUCCAGCCAUCCCGCGUGUAUGAUGAAGGACUUCGGUUUGUUCCGUACUUUUGGCUGAGAAGAAAAGGUACCUCCUAAUACGAGGUACUGCUGACGGUAUCUGCAGAAUAAUCACCUGCUAACUACGUGCCAGCAGCCGCGGUAAUACGUAGGGUGCAAGCGUUAAUCGGAAUUACUGGGCGUAAAGCGUGUGUAGGCGGUUCGGAAAGAAAGAUGUGAAAUCCCAGGGCUCAACCUUGGAACUGCAUUUUUAACUGCCGAGCUAGAGUAUGUCAGAGGGGGGUAGAAUUCCACGUGUAGCAGUGAAAUGCGUAGAUAUGUGGAGGAAUACCGAUGGCGAAGGCAGCCCCCUGGGAUAAUACUGACGCUCAGACACGAAAGCGUGGGGAGCAAAC
rnacentral:rRNA from 1 species